AAUGACUUUUGUAAGGCUUGCUUCUAGGGCUUUAAUUGUAUUGAGCAAAUGUUACAGUGACUAUAAGCAGAGGAUUUGAAUUUUAGCAGCAUCUACUGUGUGCAUGACACAGAGACUCAUUUUGUUUCGAAGACUAUACUUUAAAGGAUAAAACAUAUUUUUUUGCAAACAGGGAACAUGGCAGUGAGGAACAGUCUCUCUGUUAAGGCUCUCAGAGCUGUGUGUAACUCCAGCUUUCAUCAUGAAAGUAGUCUGUAAGGGUGGAGUGCAAGGGGUACUGCAAUGGAAUGGGAACUUCUGAAGAAUGUGUUGCGGGAGUUUGGGGGAGGGAAUGGAACAGCAUUCUGUAUUAGCUGUAGGGGCAGUCAUGCGUGGAUAUGCUCAGACUGCGGGACUAUGAGGGACUUGGGCAUCUCUCUCUGCCCUCCAGUAGCUUUAUCAUCUGCUCAUGUCCAUCUAUCAUCUGCUCCUGCCCCUGUCUCCUUUCCAGGCUAUCCAGCGUACGUUUUUCAUUAACUGUCUCCCUCCAUGCUUUUGUUUUGCUAUCUGCUGUACGUGUUGACUGCAGCACUUUGCAAAACAUAUUCUCCUUACUCCUCCUGGUUCGCCUCCUUAUCUGACAGAGGUGCUCCACCGGGGUGUAGGAGAUGGUCCUCAAGGGCACAUUUGCAGAAGCCGAGGAAAUAAAGAAUAGAGACAGUAUUGUGAGUUCACUGACAGCUGUGAAUCAUAAAAGUCACGCAUACCUCUUUCUCACCGUCUCUUGGUUAGCACACAGAUUGACAAGAGUCCAAAAUAGGGUGAGUUCGGCAGGGGUGGAGUGGGGGAGAGGGGAAGAUGUUAGGAAGAGGUAAUGGGCAAGAAUGGACAAAGAUUCUGGGUAGUUUGUGAAGAGGGUUACUAUACAUACCUAGAGAGACUAUUCUGAAUAUUGUCACCCUUUUCCACAGGCUGAGGUAAUCAAAUCUGAUAUCUCACUCCUGAAGUAGGUUACAUCGACACAAAAGAAUUAAUCGAUGAUGGAAAAAGUUAACAAAAGGUCCUCUCUGGCUUCUUCAUACCAGCAAUUGAAGACAGUGGCUUCCCUGAGG